AUUGAACGCUGGCGGCAGGCCUAACACAUGCAAGUCGAGCGGAGCGGCGGACGGGUGAGUAAUGCCUAGGAAUCUGCCUGGUAGUGGGGGAUAACGUCCGGAAACGGGCGCUAAUACCGCAUACUAUCAGAUGAGCCUAGGGCGGAUUAGCUAGUUGGGGGGGUAAAGGCCUACCAAGGUGACGAUCCGUAACUGGUCUGAGAGGAUGAUCAGUCACUCUGGAACUGAGACACGGUCCAGGCGUCUACGAGAGGCAGCAGUGGGGAAUAUUUGACGAUGGGCGGAAGCCUGAUCCAGCCAUGCCGCGUGUGUGAAGAAGAUCUUCGGAUUGUAAAACACUUUAUGUUGGGAGACGUUGCCAACGGAAUCAGCGCCAGCUAACUUCGUACCAGCAGCCGCGGUAAUUC
rnacentral:rRNA from 1 species